UACGAAGGGGGCUAGCGUUGUUCGGAAUUACUGGGCGUAAAGCGCGCGUAGGCGGAUCUGCAAGUCGGGGGUGAAAUCCCGAGGCUCAACCUCGGAACUGCCUUCGAUACUGCGGGUCUCGAGUCCGGGAGAGGUGAGUGGAAUUCCUAGUGUAGAGGUGAAAUUCGUAGAUAUUAGGAAGAACACCAGUGGCGAAGGCGGCUCACUGGCCCGGUACUGACGCUGAGGCGCGAAAGCGUGGGGAGCAAACAGG
rnacentral:rRNA from 1 species